rnacentral:lncRNA from 1 species
CCAGAGCUUUUUCUGCAUAAGGACUUGAUUUUAGUCUUUGCACUCCACAUCAUAGUGUCCUACGAUACCCAAACAUGAACAACCACACUAAGAACACGUCCAAAGCACUUAAUGACAGCAAAAGAAUUCCAUCUUUGCUCUAAAAUGAAGAUUUCGGACCAUGGUCCGCCGUGAACAAAAAACGGGCUCCCUAUGUUGAACUUUGUGUGCAAAUCAGAUAUCAGCUUAUCGCUUACCACUCUGCUGUAAACGAUUACCAGAGCUUUUUCUACAUAAGGACCUGAUUUCAGUCUUUGCACUCCACAUCAUAGUGUCCUGGGAUACCCAAACAUGAGCAACCACACUAAGAAUACGUCCAAAGCACUUAAUGACAACAAAACAAUUCCAUCUUUGCUCUGAAAUGAAGAUUUUGGACCAUGGUCCGUUGUGAACAAAAAACGGGCUCCCUAUGUCGAACUUUGUGUCCAAAUCUGAAAAUCAGCUCGCGUAAUCGUUUACCACUCUGCUGUAAAGGAUUACCAGAGCUUUUUUGCUGCACUUUUUUUCAGGACCUGAACUAAGUUCUUGUACUCAAAAUACAUAUUUCUUUCCUCUGUCCAACAAUCAUUGUUUCAUUUCUCCUUUAAAUAUAGUAAUACUACAUUUAAAUGCCAACUUUAUUCAUUAACAAUUCAAACAAAACCUCAUUUUCCAAUUACAAUAACAAAUACAAUUCAGUUAAUAAGUAAUAAUAUGUUAAUGAAGGAAACUUGCAUUUUUAUAACAUUGAACAUAAUACAAUUCAAAUUACAAAACAUUUAUUCAUGUAACAAUAUUUCCAUAUUACAAUGUCUUAAGAAAGCUAUACAAAUAUCACUCAUUUUUAAUUCUAAGCAAUCCAAUGUAAGGAGUCCUAAGCGCUCUGCUCUUGUAACGCCUUCGUGACCCCAUCCUCACAUAUGUCUUCAUUGGAGGAGGAUCGGUGGACAUGCCUUUUUGGGAGAUGCCUUCCUGGGAGAUGUCGCCCAUUUAAACACUCAUCCUCACUACCACUACAAGAAAAAUUGUCAUUAUCUACAGCCCAAAUCCGUAUAUAAGGCCUAAAAUCCGUAUAUAAUUUCUGGUUAUAUACGGAUUACAUACGGAAAAAAAUCCGUAUUUAAUAUUGUCGUAGGUAGUAUUAUAUACGGAAAAUCCGUAUAUAAUUUAUAUACGGAUUUGACGCCUGCACAUAUGGAUUAAAACCAUCGGAGCAUAAACCAAGUCGAACAUUGCGUGGCUCAAUGGCAAAAUCAGGAUGUACUN